rnacentral:lncRNA from 1 species
UAAAAUUGGUGAAGAAUGUGCUUACCAUGUGAAUCGAACUUCAGUUGAUGAAGAAUGUGCUUUGGAAAUAUUUGACCGUCUAGGUCAUUAUUAUUCGAAAGUAUAUAUAUGUGAUAGCUAAGUAAUGCGUUUAUUGAUAUUAUGGUUCGAGAUGAAGCUCUAGAUUAAUUUCAUCGAACAGUUGAAAUGAAUGACUAAGGAUAUUCAAU